rnacentral:rRNA from 1 species
GGGUUGUGAGGUUAAGCGACUAAGCGUACACGGUGGAUGCCCUGGCAGUCAGAGGCGAUGAAGGACGUGCUAAUCUGCGAUAAGCGCCGGUAAGGUGAUAUGAACCGUUAUAACCGGCGAUUUCCGAAUGGGGAAACCCAGUGUGAUUCGUCACACUAUCAUUAACUGAAUCCAUAGGUUAAUGAGGCGAACCGGGGGAACUGAAACAUCUAAGUACCCCGAGGAAAAGAAAUCAACCGAGAUUCCCCCAGUAGCGGCGAGCGAACGGGGAGGAGCCCAGAGCCUGAAUCAGCAUGUGUGUUAGUGGAAGCGUCUGGAAAGGCGCGCGAUACAGGGUGACAGCCCCGUACACAAAAAUGCACAUGCUGUGAGCUCGAUGAGUAGGGCGGGACACGUGGUAUCCUGUCUGAAUAUGGGGGGACCAUCCUCCAAGGCUAAAUACUCCUGACUGACCGAUAGUGAACCAGUACCGUGAGGGAAAGGCGAAAAGAACCCCGGCGAGGGGAGUGAAAAAGAACCUGAAACCGUGUACGUACAAGCAGUGGGAGCACCCUUUGGGGUGUGACUGCGUACCUUUUGUAUAAUGGGUCAGCGACUUAUAUUCUGUAGCAAGGUUAACCGUAUAGGGGAGCCGGAGGGAAACCGAGUCUUAACCGGGCGUUAAGUUGCAGGGUAUAGACCCGAAACCCGGUGAUCUAGCCAUGGGCAGGUUGAAGGUUGGGUAACACUAACUGGAGGACCGAACCGACUAAUGUUGAAAAAUUAGCGGAUGACCUGUGGCUGGGGGUGAAAGGCCAAUCAAACCGGGAGAUAGCUGGUUCUCCCCGAAAGCUAUUUAGGUAGCGCCUCGUGAA